rnacentral:rRNA from 1 species
GGAAAGUAGUUUGUUAUUUUGCGGGGGAGGGGGGGAGGGGUGAGUAAUGUUUGCUAAACUGCCUGAUGGAGGGGGAUAACUACUGGAAACGGUAGCUAAUACCGCAUAACGUCCCAAGACCAAAGAGGGGGACCUUCGGGCCUCUUGCCAUCAAAUGUGCCCAGAUGGGAUUAACUAGUAGGUGGGGUAACGGCUCACCUAGGCAACAAUCCCUAGCUGGUCUGAGAGGAUGACCAGCCACACUGGAACUGAGACACGGUCCAAACUCCUACGGGAGGCAGCAGUAGGGAAUCUUCCACAAUGGACAAAAGUCUGAUGGAGCACCGCCGCGUGAGUGAAGAAGGCCUUCGGGUUGUAAAGCACUGUUGUAUGGGAAGAACAGCUAGAAUAGGGAAUGAUUUUAGUUUGACGGUACCAUACCAAAAAGGGACGGCUAAAUACGUG